rnacentral:misc_RNA from 1 species
UACGUAGGGUGCAAGCGUUAAUCGGAAUUACUGGGCGUAAAGCGUGCGCAGGCGGUCCUUUAAGACAGGUGUGAAAUCCCCGGGCUUAACCUGGGAACUGCAUUUGUGACUGAAGGGCUAGAGUACGGCAGAGGGGGAUGGAAUUCCGCGUGUAGCAGUGAAAUGCGUAGAUAUGCGGAGGAACACCGAUGGCGAAGGCAGUCCCCUGGGCCUGUACUGACGCUCAUGCACGAAAGCGUGGGGAGCAAACAGG